GAGGAAGCUACCUGCAGUCCAACGGGGUCUUAGUGCGGAAGUUUUCGGAUGGAAGGAUUAAGACUUAGUGGCGGACGGGUGAGUAACGCGUGGGUAACCUGCCCUGUACAGGGGGAUAACAGUUGGAAACGGCUGCUAAAACCGCAUAACAUGGAGAUACCGCAUGAUAUUUCCAUCAAAUAUUUAUAGGUACAGGAUGGGCCCGCGUCUGAUUAGCCAGUUGGCAGGGUAAUGGCCUACCAAAGCGACGAUCAGUAGCCGGCUUGAGAGAGUGACCGGCCACAUUGGGACUGAGACACGGCCCAAACUCCUACGGGAGGCAGCAGUGGGGGAUAUUGCACAAUGGGGGAAACCCUGAUGCAGCGACGCCGCGUGAGUGAAGAAGUAUUUCGGUAUGUAAAGCUCUAUCGGCAGGGAAGAAAAAAAUGACAGUACCUGACUAAGAAGCCCCGGCUAACUACGUGCCAGCAGCCGCGGUAAUACGUAGGGGGCAAGCGUUAUCCGGAUUUACUGGGUGUAAAGGGAGCGUAGGCGGCCACGCAAGUCAGAAGUGAAAACCCGGGGCUCAACCCUGGGAGUGCUUUUGAAACUGUGCGGCUAGAGUGUCGGAGGGGUAAGUGGAAUUCCUAGUGUAGCGGUGAAAUGCGUAGAUAUUAGGAGGAACACCAGUGGCGAAGGCGGCUUACUGGACGAUGACUGACGCUGAGGCUCGAAAGCGUGGGGAGCAAACAGGAUUAGAUACCCUGGUAGUCCACGCCGUANACGAUGAAUACUAGGUGUCGGGGGUCAUAAGACUUUCGGUGCCGUCGCANACGCAGUAAGUAUUCCACCUGGGGAGUACGUUCGCAAG
rnacentral:rRNA from 1 species